CGAUGUUUCAUUUCAAAUUUUCCUGCCCUAUCAACUUUCGACGGUAGGGUAGUGGCCUACCGUGGUGGUAACGGGUGACGGAGGAUUAGGGUUCGAUUCCGGAGAGGGAGCCUGAGAAACGGCUACCACAUCCAAGGAAGGCAGCAGGCGCGCAAAUUACCCAAAUCCCAACUCGGGGAGGUAGUGACAAGAAAUAACGAUGCUCCGGCCAUCGGUCGGGUAAUCGGAAUGAGAACAAUUUAAAUCCCUUAUCGAGGAUCAAUUGGAGGGCAAGUCUGGUGCCAGCAGCCGCGGUAAUUCCAGCUCCAAUAGCGUAUAUUUAAGUUGCUGCGGUUAAAAAGCUCGUAGUCGGAUUUCGGGUGGCGCCUACCGGUCCGCCUUUGGUGAGUACUGGUAGGUACCACCUUUCUGCCGAGGACGGGGUACUGGGCUUAGUUGUCUGGGCCUCGGAGUCGGCGAUGUCACUUUGAGUAAAUUAGGGUGUUCAAAGCAGGCUUAUGCUCUGUAUACACUAGCAUGGGAUGACACGAUAGGACUUCGGUUUAUCUUGUCGGUCUGUAGAUCGGAGUAAUGAUUAAGAGGGACAGUCGGGGGCAUUCGUAUUUCGUAGUCAGAGGUGAAAUUCUUGGAUUUACGGAAGACGAACUUCUGCGAAAGCAUUUGCCAAGGAUGUUUUCAUUGAUCAAGAACGAAAGUCGGGGGCUCGAAGACGAUUAGAUACCGUCGUAGUCUCGACCAUAAACGAUGCC
rnacentral:rRNA from 1 species